rnacentral:rRNA from 1 species
CCUACGGGUGGCAGCAGUGAGGAAUAUUGGUCAAUGGACGGAAGUCUGAACCAGCCAUGCCGCGUGCAGGAUGAAGGCUCUAUGGGUCGUAAACUGCUUUUGUACGGGGGUAAAACCCGCUACGUGUAUCGGGCUGCAGGUACCGUCCGAAUAAGGACCGGCUAAUUCCGUGCCAGCAGCCGCGGUAAUACGGAAGGUACAAGCGUUAUCCGGAUUUAUUGGGGUUAAAGGGCGCGUAGGGGGGCCGUUAAGUUAGCGGUAAAAUCCCGGGGCUCAACCCCGGCGCAGCAUUUGAUACUGGCGGGCUAGAGUUUAGAAGAGGUAGGCGGAAUGCGUGGUGUAGCGGUGAAAUGCAUAGAGAUCAUGAGGAACCCCGAUUGCGAAGGCAGCUUGCCGGGGUGCGACUGACGCUGAGGCUCGAAGGUGUGGGGAGCAAACAGGAUUAGAUACCCGGGUAGUC